rnacentral:misc_RNA from 1 species
UUACUUUUCGUUUAUCAUUUGUUCAGACUUCAGAAUUCCGCAUGGGUUUGUAAGGCCGGCCGCGGGGUCUACCACCGCUAACUCAAUAGUGGGGUCUCGCCCGGGGCCGAAGCGAUGUGAGUUGCUUUCGCGUCUCAUGACAAAGGGCGGGUAGCGGGCACGAGGCCCAGACCCAGUAAUGAUCCUUCCGCAGGUUCACCUACGGAAA